GGUUCGAUUCUGUCAGAUUGAACGCUGGCGGGAUGUUUACACAUGCAAGUCGAACGGCAGCACGGACUUCGGUCUGGUGGCGAGUGGCGAACGGGUGAGUAAUGUAUCGGAACGUGCCUAGUAACGGGAUACGCGAAAGCGUAGCUAAUACCGCAUACGCCUUCGGGGGAAAGCGGGGACCUUUCGGGCCUCGCACUAUUAGAGCGGCCGAUAUCGGAUUAGCUAGUUGGUGGGGUAACGGCUCACCAAGGCGACGAUCCGUAGCUGGUUUGAGAGGACGACCAGCCACACUGGGACUGAGACACGGCCCAGACUCCUACGGAGGCAGCAGUGGGAAUUUUGGACAAUGGGGGAAACCCCUGAUCCAGCCAUCCCGCGUGUGCGAUGAAGGCCUUCGCUUAAAGCACCUUUGGCAGGAAAAGAAACGGCACGGGAUAAUACCCCGUGCAACUGACGGUACUUGCAGAAUAAGCACCGGCUAACUACGUGCCAGCAGCCGCGGUAAUACGUAGGGUGCAAGCGUUAAUCGGAAUUACUGGGCGUAAAAGCGUGCGCAGGCGGUUCGGAAAGAAAGAUGCGGAAAUCCCAGAGCUUAACUUUGAACUGCAUUUUUAACUACUGAGCUAGAGUGUGUCAGAGGGAGGUGGAAUUCCGCGUAGCAGUGAAAUGUAGAUAUGCGGAGGAACACCGAUGGCGAAGGCAGCCUCCUGGGAUAACACUGACGCUCAUGCACGAAAGCGUGGGGAGCAAACAGGAUUAGAUACUCCUGGUGUCCACGCCCUAAACGAUGUCAACUAGCUGUUGGGGCCUUCGGGCCUUGGUAGCGCAGCUAACGCGUGAAGUUGACCGCCUGGGGAGUACGGUCGUAAGAUUAAAACUCAAAGGAAUUGACGGGACCCGCACAAGCGGUGGAUGAUGUGGACACCCGAUGCAACGCGAAAACCUUACCUACCCUUGACAUGUCUGGAAUCCCCGGAAGAGAUUUGGGAGUGCUCGCAAGAGAACCGGAACACAGGUGUUGGGGUAUGGCUGUCGUCAGCUCGUGUCGUGAGAUGCUGGGUUAAGUCCCGCAACGAGCGUGCAACCCUUGUCAUUAGUUGCUACGAAAGGGCACUCUAAUGAGACUCGCCGGUACAAACCGAGGAAGGUGGGGAUGACGUCAAGUCCUCAUGGCCUAUGGGUAGGGCUUC
rnacentral:misc_RNA from 1 species